rnacentral:rRNA from 1 species
CACGUAGGGCGCAAGCGUUGUCCGGAAUUAUUGGGCGUAAAGAGCUCGUAGGCGGUUUGUCGCGUCUGCUGUGAAAACUCGGGGCUUAACCCCGGGCCUGCAGUGGGUACGGGCAGACUAGAGUGCGGUAGGGGGAGACUGGAAUUCCUGGUGUAGCGGUGAAAUGCGCAGAUAUCAGGAGGAACACCGGUGGCGAAGGCGGGUCUCUGGGCCGUAACUGACGCUGAGGAGCGAAAGCGUGGGGAGCGAACAGG